rnacentral:rRNA from 1 species
AUAUGCUCGUCUCAAAGAUUAAGCCAUGCAUGUCUAAGUUCAUAUCGAUUUAAAAGAUGAAACUGCGAAGGGCUCAGUAAAUCAGUUAUCGUCCGUUCGAUCAUACAAGCCAUGGAUAACUGUGGCAAAUCUAGAGCUAAUACAUGCAARKUCCAUCGGUGGCAACACUGGUGGAGCAUUUAUUGGACUGAACCAACGGGAGCUUCGGCUCUUGCAGGUGAAUCUAGAUAACUUUGCAUAUCGCACGGUUUAUACCGGUGAUAGUUCGAUCGAAUUUCUGCCCUAUCAACUAGUUGGUAAGGUAGUGGCCUACCAAGGUUGUGACGGGUAACGGGGAAUCAGGGUUCGAUUCCGGAGAGGGAGCCUGAUAAACGGCUACCASAUCUAAGGAAGGCAGSAGGCGCGCAAAUUACCCAAUCCAGACAUUGGGAGGUAGUGACGAGAAAUACCAAAGUGUGCCGUAAAAGGUUUCACUAUUGGAAUGAACGUAACAUAGUACCUUCGCUGAGUACCUACUGGAGGGCAAGUCUGGUGCCANCAGCCGCGGUAAUUCCAGCUCCAGUAGUGUAUAUCAAAAUUGUUGCGGUUAAAACGCUCGUAGUUGGAUUACAAAAGUCUGGCGUCAAUUGANCAUUCGUUUGAUUGGCGUCGGGCUUUUUUAUCGCAAGAACCACUUGUGCACUUAACUGUGUGUGGGUGGCCACUUGCGGAGCGUGCCUUGAAUAAAGCACAGUGCUCAAAGCAGGCGUAACGCUUGAAUGUUAUAGCAUGGAACGAAUAACCUGACCUAGUUCAGUUAGUUGGUUCUCUGAACCGGGUCCUGAUUAAAAGGGACAUUUGAGGGCGUUAGUACUUGGUGGCGAGAGGUGAAAUUCUUAGACCCACCAAAGACUCACUAAUGCGAAAGCAUUCGCCAAGAAUGUUUUCAUUGAUCAAGAACGAAAGUUAGAGGUUCGAAGACGAUCAGAUACCGUCCUAGUUCUAUACAGUAAACUAUGCCACCACGGGAUCAGUCCGGAAAACGAUCCAGGUUGGUCCCCCAAGGAAACUUGAAGUGUUCGGGUUCCGGGGGGAGUACAGUCGCAAGUCCGAAACUUAAAGGAAUUGACGGAAGGGCACCACCAGGAGUGGAGCCUGCGGCUUAAUUUGACUCAACACGGGGCAACUCACCAGGUCCAGACAYUGAAAGKMUUGACAGACUGAUAGAUCUUUCAAGAUCCAAUGAUUGGUGGUGCAUGGCCGUUCUUAGUUGGUGGAGUGAUCUGUCAGGUCUAUUCCGGUAACGAGCGAGACCACGAUCUCUAUUUGAUUGCAGCUAUAUAUGUUAUAGUUGGUCAUAGAGAGACUACCGGAUUACAA